rnacentral:misc_RNA from 1 species
UCUCCGUAGGUGAACCUGCGGAGGGAUCAUUGCAGAGUUCAUGCCCUACCGGGUAGAUCUCCCACCCUAUGUUAUUAUUACUUUGUUGCUUUGGCGGGCCGUUAGGCUCCGGCCCGACUACCGGCCCCGGCUGGUAAGCGCCCGCCAGAGGACCCAAAACCCUGAAUAUUAGUGUCGUCUGAGUACUAUAUAAUAGUUAAAACUUUCAACAACGGAUCUCUUGGUUCUGGCAUCGAUGAGAACGCAGC